AGUGAACGCUGGCGGUAGGCCUAACACAUGCAAGUCGAACGGCAGCACAGUAAGAGCUUGCUCUUACGGGUGGCGAGUGGCGGACGGGUGAGGAAUACAUCGGAAUCUACUUUUUCGUGGGGGAUAACGUAGGGAAACUUACGCUAAUACCGCAUACGACCUACGGGUGAAAGCAGGGGAUCUUCGGACCUUGCGCGAUUGAAUGAGCCGAUGUCGGAUUAGCUAGUUGGCGGGGUAAAGGCCCACCAAGGCGACGAUCCGUAGCUGGUCUGAGAGGAUGAUCAGCCACACUGGAACUGAGACACGGUCCAGACUCCUACGGGAGGCAGCAGUGGGGAAUAUUGGACAAUGGGCGCAAGCCUGAUCCAGCCAUACCGCGUGGGUGAAGAAGGCCUUCGGGUUGUAAAGCCCUUUUGUUGGGAAAGAAAAGCAGCAGGUUAAUACCCCGCUGUUCCGACGGUACCCAAAGAGUAAGCACCGGCUAACUUCGUG
rnacentral:rRNA from 1 species